rnacentral:rRNA from 1 species
AUGGUCGUCCUCGUCUUCUUCCAGAAACUUUGUAUAUUGUUCGAUCAUUGGGGCUAUCUUCUUGGGCCAUGGAUACGGGUAGGAUUUGGCGACCCUGGCAAGGCGCUUCUGCACCUCCUUGUCCGGAUCGUAGGUGUGGAGCUUGCCCGCCCGCCGGUACUACUCCACCACGUCUUCCUCCUCCAUGGCCAUGUACAGCUCGCAGCUCGCAUAUACCGCCUCGCGGAAAGCCCGCCGCGCCGCCUUCUGUUCGACAAGGCCAUGGCCAUGGCCAUGUACAAGGAGAUAAUUCCCUCUUUGUAA